rnacentral:rRNA from 1 species
AACGAACGCUGGCGGCAUGCCUAACACAUGCAAGUCGAACGAGACCUUCGGGUCUAGUGGCGCACGGGUGCGUAACGCGUGGGAACCUGCCCUUAGGUUCGGAAUAACUCCCCGAAAGGGGUGCUAAUACCGGAUAAUGUCUUCGGACCAAAGAUUUAUCGCCUUUGGAUGGGCCCGCGUUGGAUUAGCUAGUUGGUAGGGUAAAAGCCUACCAAGGCGACGAUCCAUAGCUGGUCUGAGAGGAUGAUCAGCCACACUGGGACUGAGACACGGCCCAGACUCCUACGGGAGGCAGCAGUGGGGAAUAUUGGACAAUGGGCGAAAGCCUGAUCCAGCAAUGCCGCGUGAGUGAUGAAGGCCUUAGGGUUGUAAAGCUCUUUUACCCGGGUGAUAAUGACAGUACCGGGAGAAUAAGCUCCAGCUAACUCCGUG